rnacentral:rRNA from 1 species
UCGAGCGAAUGGAUUAAGAGCUUGCUCUUAUGAAGUUAGCGGCGGACGGGUGAGUAACACGUGGGUAACCUGCCCAUAAGACUGGGAUAACUCCGGGAAACCGGGGCUAAUACCGGAUAAUAUUUUGAACCGCAUGGUUCGAAAUUGAAAGGCGGCUUCGGCUGUCACUUAUGGAUGGACCCGCGUCGCAUUAGCUAGUUGGUGAGGUAACGGCUCACCAAGGCAACGAUGCGUAGCCGAC